rnacentral:lncRNA from 1 species
AAACCAGAAGUUACUGGAACUCUGGGCUUUCCUCCUUUGAGGCCACUUUUGCUACCAUCCCGGAAUUACUGGCGAGUGAUAUUCAUUGGCGGCCACUUACCAGGAUGCAGGAAGACGUUAGAAAUCCCAGGAUGCUCUGGUGAUCCUUCUGGACUAGAGACCCCCAGAAAACAGGCCAGGAUGCCCGAGUGGGUGAGAGACUGCACAGAGAAGAGACAAGACUGCCACCUCCUCUGCAAACCUCACAGAAAUGACUCCACUGUCAGGAUUUCCUGGAGGGCCACCUUUGCACAUAUGUUUGAGAAGGGAAAAACCUACCAGCUGAUAUUCCUCAAAGUUGCAUUGAGAGAACAUCUGUCUCAGCAAAGUGUUAUUCUAGAUGAGCACCUGACUAUUUCUGAAAGUAACACACACUUGAGGAAAAGAUCUCCCAUUCUCUGUGUAUCCUGCUAA